GAUGAACGCUAGCGGCAGGCCUAAUACAUGCAAGUCGAGGGGCAGCGGGAGUAGCAAUACUUGGCGGCGACCGGCUCACGGGUGCGUAACACGUAUACAAUCUGCCCUUAACAGGGGGGUAGCCCGGAGAAAUCCGGAUUAAUACCCGAUAACACAAGAAACGGCAUCGUAUUUGGUUGAAAGUUCCGACGGUAAAGGAUGAGUAUGCGUCUGAUUAGUUAGUUGGUGAGGUAACGGCUCACCAAGACCACGAUCAGUAGAGGAUCUGAGAGGAUUAACCCCCACACGGAUACUGAGACACGGAUACGAGUCCUACGGGAGGCAGCAGUAAGGAAUAUGGGACAAUGCCCGCAAGGGUGAUCCAGCCAUGCCGCGUGCAGGAAGACGGCCCUAUGGGUUGUAAACUGCUUUUAUACAAGAGAAAACCCCCUUACGUGUAAGGGGCUGAUAGUAUUGUAAGAAUAAGCAUCGGCUAACUACGUGCCAGCCGCCGCAGUAA
rnacentral:rRNA from 1 species